rnacentral:lncRNA from 1 species
CCGGACUCCACACAUUGCCCCCCGUUCCCCUUCCAGGCUCCAAUCCCUCCCACCCCAGACAUGGCUCCAUGCUCUCGUGCUCCCCUUAAGUCCACACUCAGCUCCACAUCCCACCUCCAAACCUUGCUGCCCCACGGGGCAUCGCCGUCCUCAACCUCUCCACACUCCUCAUAGGACCCCUCAUCCCCCUUCAAUCCCCAGAAACCACAAUUCCACGGUCGGUCUCCAGCCCCCACCCCGUUCCCAAUCUUCCCCAUCCCACAUACACAUCCCAAUCCCCUUCAGGCAGCAAUUCCCUCACAUUUCCCCCCAGGCCCUACUCCUGCCCGUUUCCCCUCCAGGCCCUAAUCCCUCUUCCCACUCCCUCUCCAUGCUCAAUUCACUCACUAUUCUCCCUUGCCAUGCCCCCUCCCUCCAUUCCCCUCUAGGCCCCAAUCCUCCUCCAGGGCCCAAUCCCCCACCCCAUUCCCCUCUAGGCCCCAACUCUCCCCCAUUUUCCUCCAAGCCCCAAUUCCCCCCUUAUUUCCCUUCAGGCCUCAGACCUCACACACAGCCCAAAAGCCCAAGCCCACUCCCACUUUCCUCAUUGCCCCCCAGUACCUCCCAACCCUCCCUACAGCCCAGGUUACCCCGCAGCCCCUUCUCACCCUGCUCGUCGCCAUGAUUUCUCCCAACCCUACCACCGCCAGGGGGCGCUCUGCGCACCCAGCCCUCCCGACUCUAUGGCUGGCGGGGCGGGCCGGAAGGGGCGUGGCGAAAGCAGAAGGAGGAACACCGGAAGGGGCGUGGCAAAGACAGGAAGAAGGAAGGCGGAAGGGGCGUGGCGAAGGCAGGAAGAUGAAAACCGGAAGGGGGCGUGGCAAAGACAGAAGGGGGAAAGCCGGAAGGGGCGUGGCGUGGUGGCGCUGGAGGUGGCGAGCCCCUUCGGUGUGCUCUUCGCCUGGGAACAUGUCGGAGGGAGUGGACCUGAUUGAUAUCUACGCUGACGAAGAGUUCAACCAGGUGUGGAGCUUGGGAGGGGGGAGGCAAACAGAGGGGGUCUGGUCAAAAAAAAAAAAAAAAAAAAAAGGGUAUAGGGCACACGUGUGGG